GUUCUGGAUACAGGUGAGCUCUGUUGGCAUCUGGAACAGAAGAACUGGAUGUGGCAGAUUGCACCUUCCAAAGAUGAUCACCAUAGUAUCUCCUAUCUAAUACGCUGUUCCGCAAUAUGACUUUGACAUUUCCUCAUCAAGAAGUGGAGUCUUAUUACCUUACUCUGGGCUUGGCUUUACUGGCUUGUUGAACCAGCAGAAUAUGACAGAAGUGACACUCCAACCUCUGAAAAGACUGUAAAAACACCUUGCAAUUUCUACCUGAGCCUCUUAAAAGGAUCACUCUUGGGAUGCUGUCUCUGAGGACUGUGGCCAUAUGAAAGGUCUCAGCCACAUGAAAAGGUUAUUGGUUGGUGUUCAGGCAUGUAGCUCCAGCAGAACUCCUAGGAAACAGUCAUCAUCAACUGCCAGCCAUGCCACAUUCCAACUCAACUGAACCUUUAGACGAAUGUAGCCCUAGCCUCUAUUUGACUUCAACUACAAGAGAGAUGCCAAGCUGAGACCAGUUAAGCCACAGAACUCUUUUACCUUCGUUAACUCAAACCUGCACCCAUCUGAAGUGAAACCAGCAACCAUUUAACAGCAAACAGUAGCAGCAGCAUGCACCAAAAGAGAAUGGAAAGUGAAAAGAACACAACAGAUCAUUUUAAAAGUAGUGUGUCAAUUGCCUGGUUCUCCACUGACAGCUAAAAUUAAACAAAAAAGUGAAUUCCGUUCUACAGUGUGACCAUCUUAUGGGAACACUAGAGGAUAUCCAUAGACAGCAGAGAAAAAAUAGCAAAAUAGAUAUUUUGACUCACAGAAAAUGAAUGUUUGCAAAGAUUCACCAAGAAAUAAAGUCAACCAAAAAAGCAAAGUCAUGGAAAAGAAAUGCAAAUCUCCACAAAAGGCAGCUUUUCAGGGCUAUUCCUGUCUACACGCCCUCUGAAUAACCAUCUCAAAAUAUGUUCAAGAAGUAUAUUUUGGAGGUGGCAUUGCAGAUGGGAUCUCAAAGCCAAGUCUCUACAUAUGAUACAGGCAAACAGAUGUUUUGAAUAAGUCUCAUGAGAUCUGAUGGUUUCAAAAGAUCACAAGCUCUCUCUUUGCCUGUUGCCAUCCAUGUAAGACAUGACUUGCUCCUCCUUGCCUUCUGCCAUGAUUGUGAGGCCUCUCCAGCCACAUGGAAUUUUUUUCAUCCAGUGACUACCAAAUGGAGGAAUUAUCGUCUUGAAGGGGAACGUAUCAAUCACUUAAGGAAACUAGAUGGGAGACUGAAGGUGGCAAAAGGAGAGGCAUAGCAAAUGGAAGAAGGUGUCCUAGAGUCACUCUUAAACUUUGAGAAGUUUGAGAUAUUAGAUACUGAUCUUUAACAAACAUCUUGAACACCAGACUACAUCUGAGGGUCUACUGUCUACUUCUGGAGAACACAGCCUGUAACAAUGCAAAAAUAAAUUGCUCGGAUCAUCUGAUAAUGACAGGCUAUUAAAUAAUUUGGAACACUGAGCUUCCACUUUUGUACAACUUCAGAUUUUUUUUCACUGACUCACCAUUUAUUCAUGUAUUAAAUAAAUAUUUGAGUACCUCUUAUGAGCUAGGCACUAUGCUUGUUAGAAGAUACAUGAAAAAUAUCUGGAAUGCAAACACAGUACUAGAGGUAGAACAGACAUCUCAUAACCAUGAAAAUGAAAGCUAUACUUCUAAGGGAUGGCAGAACAGAGCCAGAAAGAGCUUACAUGAAGCCACAAUUACUGCUCUAGAUUGCCUAUCUCUGGCCUUCUCAUUGUAUGAGAAAAAUAGCCUCUUCUUGGGUUUUCUGUUAGCUCAAUGGAACCUAAUCUCCAGCUGAUGGAAUCCCCCCACUUGGUACUUAUUAUGCCUGAUGCAAAUACCAUUCUUUUGGCAGUUGUUUGUUAAUUUAUCGACUGUGAUUGAAUGAAUUAUUGAUAGUGCUUGCUUUUAUUUUACUCCAUAUUCCCUGGUCAAAUCCACAAAGUCAGCUAAUAAUAAAGCCCGGAGAAUAAUUUGGUCUCUGGUAGCUCACCACUU
rnacentral:lncRNA from 1 species